CAAAACCUUCGGGGCGUGGUGAAAUUCCACACCGGCGGUGAUUCGUAUGCAUGUACGUGUACAUGGUUGCGAUCAGUCCGUGACCCGUUGUGAAGCUAGCGGUACCUGACAACAGCUUCGCUACGGUUGACCUGGUGGAAUUCCGGGACCGACAGUAUAGUCUGGAUGGGAGAAGGAAAAU
rfam:Paenibacillus sp. Soil750 contig_2, whole genome shotgun sequence.